rnacentral:rRNA from 1 species
UACGUAGGGGGGCGAGCGUUAUCCGGAAUUACUGGGCGUAAAGCGCACGCAGGCGGUUCGCCAAGUUUGGAGUGACAGUUGUCGGCUCAACCGACAAAGGACUUCAAAAACUGGUGAACAUUGAGGACGAGAGAGGAACAUGGAACUCCAGGUGUAGUAGUGAAAUGCGUAGAUAUCUGGAAGAACACCAAUGGCGAAGGCGGCGACC